GAUUUUGUUGAUCUAAAUAAUGGCAAAUUCUAUGUGGGUGUUUGUGCCUUUGUGAAAGUUCAACUUAAAGAUGGGGCUUACCAUGAAGAUGUUGGCUACGGAGUAAGUGAAGGCUUGAAAUCUAAGGCCUUGUCCCUUGAAAAAGCAAGGAAAGAGGCUGUCACAGAUGGUUUGAAGAGGGCACUGAAGUGCUUUGGUAAUGCUCUUGGGAACUGUAUUUUGGAUAAAGACUACUUGCGCUCAGUGAAUAAGCUCCCCCGUCAG